UAAAGUGCCAUGCAGGCAAGAAUUAAUCUCUGGUGGAAUUUUUCCAUUUUGUAGAUGGAAGAGAUAACAGAGGAGAUGUAGAUGGAUUGUCUGGGACUCCAAAGUGGAAUGUUUUCAGAGCUGGGAUUUGCCUUUCUUUGUGCCAUGGGAAGGUGACCCUUAUGGACCAUAUCUCCUGAGCUCCAUUGCUGGUGGACUUAGAUUCAAUCCAUCUUUGAAGAUCAGAAGAUACAGCGAGCUCAGAAAUCAUGUGUUAAAGAUUGAGGAGCCACAGAAUGGAAGAAGAGUCACUCAUUAAUCAGGACACCCAUUUUGGUCUUUAUGAGCCUCAUAAAGUGGAUAAGAUUAUUUUUAUUGAGUGCCUUUGAAUCUAAGGCACAAAAGUUGAGUGGAUUUCCUAAAGUCAAGACAUUCGGAGGGAUCUGAGUCAAAAGUAGAAUCCAUACCUGCUGGUUUCCAACCUUAGAUUUGUCGCCGAGGAUCUUCUGGACCACAUGAUUGCUCUGGGGUGAGAGACGGCCCAAGACUCCUGCAUGUGUUAUCCCUUAAGGCAUCAUAACUGUCGGUAAUGCUCCCCAGCUAUACUCCCAUCAACAUCUUUAGUCCCCAUCUCAUUUCUCUUCUAUUAAGACUACUUUGUGCUCAUUGAGGCUUUGCUCCCUGACAGAUCUGGGUUUGAAUCCUGAUUCUUAAAAGCUGUGUAUAAAGUGGACAUAGGUUUGUAAAGUGAGCUAUUGCCUGUGUAGUACCUGACAAGUGGAAACACUCAGUAAUUUAUUUGCACUGUUAUUACUAUUAUUCCUAAAUAAACCCCAGCGCUCCACUGCUGUCCCUGCCACCACAGCCACAUCUCUACACCAAUACUCCUUGGGCUCCAUCCAACCCGACUCAUGGCCUCAACACUCCAUCCAGAGUACCCUCUCCCCACCAAGGCAUACCUUCUUCUGACCUCUCCAGGACCUCUCCUGUGUGGGGUCCUGUGGACUCUUUCCUCCCCACUGGGUGCUUUCGGUUUGGGCAUCAGGGCACCCACCCUGGUGCUUUUCCUACACAUGGCUCCCUCCUCUUCCGGUGGCACCACUUCCCACUCUUCAUCCCACCCUUCAGAGCUCUAUCUGUCUCUGAAGACAAAGUCUUGUAUUUACUAUUCUUCUCUUCAGCUGUGCCCAGCAAGGAUCAUGGUUUUAUUUAACUCCCCAUAUUCACCACCUUGCAUUCACUGUUUCUGCUUUGGGAGCAAUUAAUUUGUUUAUUCCUAUAUCUAUAUCUAUAAUUUUUUCUCUAAAGCUUGGUGAGAACAAUCGAAGGGAUGUGAAUAAUAUUAUUGACAGGAAGUGAAAGGGAUUCUUCAUCUGCAUCCCUUUAGCCACCCUUUUCAAGCCUUUCAGAGGUGAGUCAAGGAACCCCCAUAGGUCUUAUCCCUUCAGUGAAGGCAGAAUGUAAGGGAGCAGUUCUCCCACCACUUCCUUCCCUGCAAGGUCUUAGCCAUCUUUUAAAAGGUUAGAAACUUAUGAAUAAUCAAAGCACAUCUCUAGGACUGGGGUCCCUUUUGGACUGACAUUAAGGUGGCAGUAAAUUCAAACUCAGACAAGUGCUCUGGCCCAGCUGGGCAUCCCAGAGAAAGUGAGGCUCAGGCAUCCUGUCUGAAUAACCACUUCUGCUGCCACUAUCUCAACACACCAGAAAUAGUUAUCAUAACCAGCUGUCUGCAAUCACAGAGUGCCGGAAACCCCUCUAAAAUCCCCAAAAAGUCUUCCCAUUCUUAUAGUCUCCUUCACACCCAAGUGCCGUGGUGUAUAUCUCAUUGUAUAAUUGUAACUGCUCUACCAUGUGUGUUUGAUUAGGGUGUCGUGUUGGCCCCAGGCAUUCCUUGUUACAGAGGCACAGGUACAGCAAAACUAGGGCCACUCACCCAAAGUGGUUCUAACGAGAAAGAAAUUUGGGGGUAAAGGGUAGGAACUCAGCAACCUCUUUCUCUUUCUCCAGUUUGGUGCCUGGAGACACCCCAAGUAUGGUAUAGACAUGCGUGUCAGUGCCCUUUUACAUAGAAAAUAGGAAAUGAAUUCCAAACAAUACGGGAAACAGCUGACCCUUUUAGCACAAUGCUUAAAUAUGCUAGUGCUGAGCCAAGGCAGCAUGUGCAGAGUAAAUAUUUUAAUCCCUAAUUAAUCACUUUGGUUAGAUUGGUAAAACACAAGUCUAAUGAAAAUAAUUUGAAAUUUCCUUCAUGAAUAAUUGCCUUGUUCAGGGAAUUGUGGGAAGAGUCAACUGACUGACCUUCCAUUCUUACUCAGCUGUACUGCUCUGAGACUUAAUUUGUGUCCUUCAACCUCUUCCAGUCACCGUCAUGAGAUUAGAAAUACCUUUCGUGCAGUUCAGCAGCAACUAUGCAAUAUGACAGUUAAGUCAGCAGAGAGAUAUUCCAGGCAAUAGUCCAGAACUCGGCUACCAUCAACACUGGAGAGAUGGCAGACUUCCUGUCCCUUCUCAUACCCUGUUUGAAUGACUUUGGUGGUGUUUCUUCAUCGGCCAAGUUUCUACAUUAAGGCUGAAUACGUGGCUGGCACAGGAGCUGCCUUCUGGACAAGAGUUCUCUCCUUGCUUGUCCAGCUGCAGGGAAGAUACUUUACCUGCUGUCUCUGCAGAAGAUGAUGCAAAAGAGAACCCAAGGACAUUUUCAGUGGAAGAUAAUGCACAGAAGGUGUACAAUACCACUGGUUGUCAAAGAAGCGAAGCCGGGGUCCCUUCUAGUGGGUGGUAGCAUCAGAAGUUAGAGAGAUGAAAAUCCAAAAAAUCCUAUAGCACCGCUUCCUGUGAUCUCUAACCCAUCACAAUUGAAAUGACAAGCGUUGAAAUGGGAGCCUCACGGUGGCGCCCUCUGCCUUUGCCGGCCUCUUCUGCAGCAGGGAGCGGCUCUCGCUGCCCAGUGCCAGUUCUCAAACUUGAAUGAUGCCUGGACCCCUUUAAAAAAAGAUGGAAUCAUCUUCACACACCCUACCACACAUCAGAGGAGACUUCUCUGGGAAACACUGACUUAAAAAUUAGGAUCUUAUAUUCAACAUCAAUAUCUUUCAAUUGAGAUUUAUAACUGCAAAGAAAAAGUUCUGUCUUUAUAACUGCUAAAUGGUUGAUUUUUAAGAAUCUUUAUACUGUUGUUGAAAGAAAAUAAUUAAAAAUACUUUCAACUUCCUAAAAGUCUCAGGAUCCUGAAUACAUGUCCAUGGGCUGCUGUUUGAAAACCUACUUUGCCUUUUGCAAGGACACACCUCAC